GACUACCAAGACUUCAUAAUAUCUCUUUUAUUUCCUGGCAUGGAGUGAGUGCCACUUGCCAGACUAUUUAUAAAUUACACAAGAACACAUGAUUCUUCCAGUUGUCCAACAGCAACUUUAUGAAAUAUACACCAAAAAAUGAUGUUUACACAAAAUAAUCGGGCCUAAAUACUUGCAGAGUUUUGUGAAUUUCAAUCACAAUUUUCUACAAUGAAGGCACACUUUUUCCAGUUCUACAAGUACUUCGUAGAAUGUGCAAUGAAUAUUUUGAAGAGUUGGUGCUGUUUCGUUACAGCAAGAUUAUCCUUCUGUUGGCACCACAACCACUGCAUAUAGUAGAGACGUUUUCAAAGCUUCUAAACAUGUGUUACAUUUAUCAGCUUUCUAAUUUAUGUAUUGCUCUUUUUUUUACAGGUCAGCUAUUUGUUCCUAGAAAAUGCCAGCAGUGCUGAAUACGCUGUGCACAGAAAGCUCCAUCAUAUUGUACUAAUGUGGCUCCAAAGAAGUACUGCUGGGCCACUAAGAACAAUUUCCCAUUGAAAACCCUGCAAAUGUGCUAAUGUUUCUACUUGAUAAGACAUACCCUGUUCAACAAAACUGGCCCAGCUGUUUCGAACAAACAAAAGGAUAACUUGUGUUUGCUUCAGAUCAAGAAGGUGCUCCUAUGUGAGAAGGCAUGCCGCUAUGAUCGAUGACUUCAAGAGAAGCCCAAGCAACAUUUCAGAAUCACAAGAGUUCGCAAAACGGAAAAAUGGCAUAUUGCCUUCUAUACUAUUACGUGUAAAAUAAACAUGAAGCACUAAAAA